AAGGGAAGAUGGUCAAAAAUACCCCUCAACUUUAGUUUAUUAGUUGAAUAUACCCCUGCCGUUAAAACAAAGUUAUUUAUACCCUCGCUAUUACCAAUUUCACCAUUUAUACCCCUCAAUUGACGGAAAUCCUCAAAUCAAUCAAAAUUGACCCGAUUUUAUAAAAAUUACCCAUUCCCCAUUUUAAACCCAUGUCCAACCCAUCUAAGAACCUAACCCAAAAUCAUAACCCAUUUUCCUCAUCUCUUUGCAGGAGAAAACAUGUUGAACUAGUUGGAGAAAUCUCAAUUUUAUAUCGCAAAGAAGAGAAGUCAUUAUCCGAGUGUGUGGUCUCCUCAACAAUUUGGACAAAGGUACUAGAGUUGCAAGGGACUAUCUCAUUGCAUAAAGGCAAUAGUGCAGCUGCAGAAGUAUACAUAAUGUGUCUAGCCUGUGCUCCAUAUCAUAUUUGGAAGGAAAAGGAAUGUCGGGAUCUUUCAACAGAAGCAGAGUAGUAUUGAAGAAGUGAUCAAGCAGAUUGUAUACAAAGUGCAUGUUAAGGGUGUAACACGACUGAGAGUGAAACAAAAUUUAGAUGGUUUGAUUUUUUACCCUUAGCUGAUGUAGCACGGUAAUCAGUUAGUAAGGACUAGAACUUGUUGUUUAGUCACAAUUUUGAUCUGUUUUGUGUUUU